rnacentral:rRNA from 1 species
CACUAUCGUUAACUGAAUACAUAGGUUAACGAGGCGAACCGGGGGAACUGAAACAUCUAAGUACCCCGAGGAAAAGAAAUCAACCGAGAUUCCCCCAGUAGCGGCGAGCGAACGGGGAGCAGCCCAGAGUCUGAAUCAGCUUGUGUGUUAGUGGAACGGUCUGGAAAGUCCGACGGUACAGGGUGAUAGUCCCGUACACCAAAAUGCACAGGCUGUGAACUCGAAGAGUAGGGCGGGACACGUGGUAUCCUGUCUGAAUAUGGGGGGACCAUCCUCCAAGGCUAAAUACUCCUGACUGACCGAUAGUGAACCAGUACCGUGAGGGAAAGGCGAAAAGAACCCCGGCGAGGGGAGUGAAAAAGAACCUGAAACCGUGUACGUACAAGCAGUGGGAGCACCUUCGGGUGUGACUGCGUACCUUUUGUAUAAUGGGUCAGCGACUUAUAUUCUGUAGCAAGGUUAACCGUAUAGGGGAGCCGCAGGGAAACCGAGUCUUAACUGGGCGUUAAGUUGCAGGGUAUAGACCCGAAACCCGGUGAUCUAGCCAUGGGCAGGUUGAAGGUUGGGUAACACUAACUGGAGGACCGAACCGACUAAUGUUGAAAAAUUAGCGGAUGACUUGUGGCUGGGGGUGAAAGGCCAAUCAAACCGGGAGAUAGCUGGUUCUCCCCGAAAGCUAUUUAGGUAGCGCCUCGUGAAUUCAUCUUCGGGGGUAGAGCACUGUUUCGGCUAGGGGGUCAUCCCGACUUACCAACCCGAUGCAAACUACGAAUACCGAAGAAUGUUAUCACGGGAGACACACGGCGGGUGCUAACGUCCGUCGUGAAGAGGGAAACAACCCAGACCGCCAGCUAAGGUCCCAAAGUCAUGGUUAAGUGGGAAACGAUGUGGGAAGGCACAGACAGCCAGGAUGUUGGCUUAGAAGCAGCCAUCAUUUAAAGAAAGCGUAAUAGCUCACUGGUCGAGUCGGCCUGCGCGGAAGAUGUAACGGGGCUAAACCAUGCACCGAAGCUGCGGCAGCGACACUAUGUGUUGUUGGGUAGGGGAGCGUUCUGUAAGCCUGCGAAGGUGACCUGUGAGGGUUGCUGGAGGUAUCAGAAGUGCGAAUGCUGACAUAAGUAACGAUAAAGCGGGUGAAAAGCCCGCUCGCCGGAAGACCAAGGGUUCCUGUCCAACGUUAAUCGGGGCAGGGUGAGUCGACCCCUAAGGCGAGGCCGAAAGGCGUAGUCGAUGGGAAACAGGUUAAUAUUCCUGUACUUGGUGUUACUGCGAAGGGGGGACGGAGAAGGCUAUGUUAGCCGGGCGACGGUUGUCCCGGUUUAAGCAUGUAGGCUGGUUGUCCAGGCAAAUCCGGAUAAUCAAGGCUGAGGUGUGAUGACGAGGUACUACGGUGCUGAAGUAACAAAUGCCCUGCUUCCAGGAAAAGCCUCUAAGCAUCAGGUAACAUCAAAUCGUACCCCAAACCGACACAGGUGGUCAGGUAGAGAAUACCAAGGCGCUUGAGAGAACUCGGGUGAAGGAACUAGGCAAAAUGGUGCCGUAACUUCGGGAGAAGGCACGCUGGUGUGUAGGUGAAGUCCCUGCGGAUGGAGCUGAGACCAGUCGAAGAUACCAGCUGGCUGCAACUGUUUAUUAAAAACACAGCACUGUGCAAACACGAAAGUGGACGUAUACGGUGUGACGCCUGCCCGGUGCCGGAAGGUUAAUUGAUGGGGUUAUCCGUAAGGAGAAGCUCUUGAUCGAAGCCCCGGUAAACGGCGGCCGUAACUAUAACGGUCCUAAGGUAGCGAAAUUCCUUGUCGGGUAAGUUCCGACCUGCACGAAUGGCGUAAUGAUGGCCAGGCUGUCUCCACCCGAGACUCAGUGAAAUUGAACUCGCUGUGAAGAUGCAGUGUACCCGCGGCAAGACGGAAAGACCCCGUGAACCUUUACUAUAGCUUGACACUGAACAUUGAGCCUUGAUGUGUAGGAUAGGUGGGAGGCUUUGAAGCGUGGACGCCAGUCUGCGUGGAGCCAACCUUGAAAUACCACCCUUUAAUGUUUGAUGUUCUAACGUUGGCCCCUUAUCGGGGUUGCGGACAGUGUCUGGUGGGUAGUUUGACUGGGGCGGUCUCCUCCCAAAGCGUAACGGAGGAGCACGAAGGUUAGCUAAUCCUGGUCGGACAUCAGGAGGUUAGUGCAAUGGCAUAAGCUAGCUUGACUGCGAGCGUGACGGCGCGAGCAGGUGCGAAAGCAGGUCAUAGUGAUCCGGUGGUUCUGAAUGGAAGGGCCAUCGCUCAACGGAUAAAAGGUACUCCGGGGAUAACAGGCUGAUACCGCCCAAGAGUUCAUAUCGACGGCGGUGUUUGGCACCUCGAUGUCGGCUCAUCACAUCCUGGGGCUGAAGUAGGUCCCAAGGGUAUGGCUGUUCGCCAUUUAAAGUGGUACGCGAGCUGGGUUUAGAACGUCGUGAGACAGUUCGGUCCCUAUCUGCCGUGGGCGCUGGAGAAUUGAGGGGGGCUGCUCCUAGUACGAGAGGACCGGAGUGGACGCAUCACUGGUGUUCGGGUUGUCAUGCCAAUGGCACUGCCCGGUAGCUAAAUGCGGAAGAGAUAAGUGCUGAAAGCAUCUAAGCACGAAACUUGCCCCGAGAUGAGUUCUCCCUGAGACUUUAAGUCUCCUGAAGGAACGUUAAAGACGAUGACGUUGAUAGGCCGGGUGUGUAAGCGCAGCGAUGCGUUGAGCUAACCGGUACUAAUGAACCGUGAGGCUUAACCUU